AGAGUUUGAUUAUGGCUCAGAACGAACGCUGGCGGCGUGGAUUAGGCAUGCAAGUCGAACGCGAACGGGACUAGAACAAAUCUUCGGAUGAGGGAAGGUCCCUAGUAGAGUGGCGAACGGGUGAGUAACGCGUGGGCAACCUGCCCUAAAGUUGGGGAUAACACUCCUAACGGGGUGCUAAUACCGAAUGUGGCCACGAGUACACAAGUGCACGUGAUUAAAGGCAGCCUCUACUUGUAAGCUGUCGCUUUAGGAUGGGCCCGCGUCCCAUUAGCUUGAUGGUGAGGUAACGGCUCACCAUGGCUCUGAUGGGUAGCUGGUCUGAGAGGAUGGACAGCCACACUGGGAUUGAGAUACGGCCCAGACUCCUUCGGGAGGCAGCAGUCGAGAGGCUUUGGCAGUGGGGGAAACCCUGACCAAGCGACGCCGCGUGGGUGAUGAAGGCCUUCGGGUUGUAAAGCCCUGUCAUAGGGGAAGAAUAGCGAUGGUGUUAAUAGCGCCGUCGUCUGACGGUACCUUAAGAGGAAGCUCCGGCCAACUCCGUGCCAGCAGCCGCGGUAAUACGGAGGGAGCAAGCGUUGUUCGGAAUUACUGGGCGUAAAGGGCGUGUAGGCGGUCUUUUAAGUCAGACGUGAAAUCUUCCGGCUCAACCGGAAACUUGCGUUUGAAACUGGAAGGCUUGAGUCAAGGAGAGGAAAGUGGAAUUCCUGGUGUAGCGGUGAAAUGCGUAGAUAUCAGGAAGAGCACCAGUGGCGAAGGCGACUUUCUGGCCUUGUACUGACGCUGAGGCGCGAAAGCCAGGGGAGCGAACGGGAUUAGAUACCCCGGUAGUCCUGGCCGUAAACGUUGGGCACUAGGUGUAGGAGGUAUCGACCCCUUCUGUGCCGAAGCUAACGCAUUAAGUGCCCCGCCUGGGGAGUACGGCCGCAAGGCUGAAACUCAAAGGAAUUGACGGGGGCCCGCACAAGCGGUGGAGCAUGUGGUUCAAUUCGAUGCAACGCGAAGAACCUUACCCGGACUUGACAUGUUUCCGACAGGUGUGGAAACACACUCUCUCUUCGGAGCGGUUACACAGGUGCUGCAUGGCUGUCGUCAGCUCGUGCCGUGAGGUGUUGGGUUAAGUCCCGCAACGAGCGCAACCCUUGCCCUUAGUUGCCAUCGGUUAGGCCGGGCACUCUAGGGGGACUGCCGGUGAUAAACCGGAGGAAGGUGGGGAUGACGUCAAGUCCUCAUGGUCCUUACGUCCGGGGCUACACACGUGCUACAAUGGCUGGUACAAAGGGUCGCAAGACCGCGAGGUGGAGCCAAUCCCACAAAGCCAGCCUCAGUUCGGAUCGGAGUCUGCAACUCGACUCCGUGAAGUUGGAAUCGCUAGUAAUCGCAGAUCAGCAGGCUGCGGUGAAUACGUUCCCGGGCCUUGUACACACCGCCCGUCAAGCCACGAAAGCCGGGAGUGCCCGAAGUCGCUUUCCCAACUCUUCGGAGAGGGAGGCGCCGAAGGUGAGCCUGGUAAUUGGGGCUAAGUCGUAACAAGGUAACC
rnacentral:rRNA from 1 species